rnacentral:rRNA from 1 species
AUGUUUUUUGCAGAAAACCCCCGCCCUCGCCCUCGCCCUCACCCUCUCGCUCCGCGCCCGCCUCGCCGCCCUCUCCCCGUGGCGGCCUCCUACCUCAGCCGGCGCGCGCACGACCCCAGCGCGCCGGUGGUGCUGACCCCGCCGAGGAUACUGCUCGCCGCCGCGGGGCUCGGGCUGGCGACCGGCGCCGACGACUUCCUGUACGCGUACGGGCUGUCGUUCGUGCCCGUGUCCACCUCCGCGAUCCUCAUCUCCACGCAGCUGGCCUUCACCGUCUUCUUCGCGUUCCUGAUCGUGCGGCAGCGGCUGACGGCGCUGUCGGUGAACGCGGUGGCGCUGCUCACCGUGGGCGCCGUGGUGCUGGGGCUGCACGUGUCCUCGGACCGCCCCGCCGGGGUGAGCAAGGGGCAGUACUGGCUGGGGUUCCUGCUGACCCUGGCCGCCGCGGCGCUGUACGGGCUGGUGCCGCCGCUGAUCGAGCUGACCUACAAGCGGGCCGCGGGCCGCGGGCGCGUGGUGACGUACGCGCUGGUGAUGGAGAUGCAGCUGGUGAUGGGCUUCUUCGCCACUGCUUUCUGCACCGUCGGCAUGAUCGUCAACAACGAUUUCCAAGUGCGGUGCCCA